rnacentral:rRNA from 1 species
AGCAGCCGCGGUAAUUCCAGCUCCAAUAGCGUAUAUUAAAGUUGUUGCAGUUAAAAAGCUCGUAGUUGAACUUCAGGCCUGUCCAGACGGUCCGCCUUAAUUGGUGUGUACUGUCCUUGGGUGGGUCCUACCUUCUGGCGAAGCGGCAUGGCCUUAAUUGGUUGUGUCGGGGAACCAGGACUUUUACUGUGAAAAAAUUAGAGUGUUCAAAGCAGGCAAAUAUGCUCGAAUACAUUAGCAUGGAAUAAUGGAAUAGGACGAUGGUUCUAUUUUGUUGGUUCUAGGACCGUUGUAAUGAUUAAUAGGGAUAGUUGGGGGCAUUAGUAUUCAAUUGUCAGAGGUGAAAUUCUUGGAUUUAUUGAAGACUAACUACUGCGAAAGCAUUUGCCAAGGAUGUUUUCAUUAAUCAAGGACGAAAGUUAGGGGAUCGAAGACGAUCAGAUACCGUCGUAGUCUUAACCAUAAACUAUGCCGACUAGGAAUCGGGCGAUGUUGACAAAAUAGACUACGCUCGGCACCU